rnacentral:misc_RNA from 1 species
UUUUUUUUUUUUUUUAUUCUUUUCCUCUCUCUAUCUUCACUAUCACAACAUACCUCCAACCCUCCUUAGUAGAGCCAAAAAAAAUCCGUAAAUUGAAUUUUCCUUCCGACGAACACCCAAGUUCGCUUCUCGGUUAUCCAAUGCAACUGUCCGUCUCCACCGAUACCAAUUCAAAUGCACCCCAAAACCUCGAAAGCCCUGGAUCCCGAAAAUCUACUUUGACAGAAGCUGAUGCAUCUUCCGCGGCUGCAGCUGUGGUGGCGUCGAAUGUUGAGGACAGCAAUAAAAGGGGUGAUAGUCUGGAUGAUGAAUUGGUUCUCGAUGUUACGGGAAAAAGUUUGGAGUUUGAUUUAUUAGAGAAGGUCGACGAUUCCGUGGAGGGGUUGUAUUUGUACAAGAAUGUAUUUAGUUUGGUUCCCAGAUCUGUGGGAAGGCUGGGGAAACUGAGAACGUUGAAGUUCUUUGGAAAUGAGUUGAAUUUGUUUCCGGUGGAAUUUGGGAAUUUAGUGGGUUUGGAGCGCUUGCAAGUAAAAGUAUCAUCGCUGGGGUUGAGUGGGUUGUGCUUGAAUAAGUUGAGAGGUUUGAAGGAGCUUGAGUUGUCAAAAGCUCCGCCGAGACCCUCUGUUUUCACGAUUUUGAGUGAGAUUGCUAGGCUGAAGUGCUUGACCAAGCUUUCUGUUUGUCAUUUCUCCGUAAGAUACUUUCCUCCAGAAAUUGGAUGCUUAAAUAACCUGGAGUACUUGGACCUUUCAUUCAACAAGAUAAAGAGUUUACCUACUGAAAUUAGUCAUUUAACUGCGCUGAUAUCAUUGAAAAUUGCAAAUAAUAAAUUAGUUGAACUGCCCUCUGACUUGUCCUCAUUGCAAAGAUUGGAGAAUUUGGACCUGUCAAAUAAUAGGUUGACAUCUUUGGGGUCUCUUCAACUUGUCUUAAUGCAUAACCUUCAGUAUUUAAAUCUUCGGUACAACAAGCUUCUCAGUUGUUGUCAAAUACCAGCAUGGAUAUGUGUCAAUCUAGAAGGAAAUGGCAAGGACUUGUCAAACGAUGAUUUCAUCAGUUCUUCAGUUGAAAUGGAUGUAUAUGAAACCUUCAUUCAGUCUGAUAAUAUAAAAUUUUCUUGCAAUGGUUCUCCUAAUACCAUUUCAAGUGUAUUAACUGGUUCUUCAUUGAACAGCAGAUGCUUUGCAGCUUGGAGGUCAAGUAAGCGGUGGAAACGACGGUAUUAUUUGCAACAGAGGGCUCGCCAAGAAUGUUUGAACAAGAGCAGGAAGUGGAAGGUUGAAGCAUGUGCUGAAUUAUUGACUCCAAAGGAAUGUGAAAAUCACAAACCUGACAACCUCAAUGUGCUGACCUCUGAAAAUUGUGGAGAAAGUACCUUAGACAUAGGUCUGGAUGAUGAAAAUGAAGAUAAGGUAGUACAUUCUGGUGGAGUUGAAGCUGAAAAUUUACAUGUUAGUGGUGAGAAUGAGAGAAUCAGUUCUGUUGACAUAGAAAAUAGCUCAUGUGACCUUGAAACUAUGAGUAAAGGUGGGGAAGAUGAAUGUUGUGUGCAUGGCAAAUUUUUAGCUUGGACACAUGGAGCUGGUGGCAAAGACGAGGGUUCAUCUUCAGAAAAACCCAUCAUCAAUUUUAAGUCAAAGAGACAUUCUGAUAGGGAUCUUGAUAAUCCAAAACCAAACAAAUGUCGAAUACCAACAGGAGACAGGUCAAGUUUAUCCCGCAAGUAUAGUGACCUAUCAUUUUGUAGCAUUGAGGACCAUCUUCCAGAUGGCUUUUAUGAUGCAGGACGUGACCGGCCUUUCUUGCCACUUAGGAGUUAUGAACAAAUUUUGCAUCUUGAUUCACGUGAGGUCAUUCUUCUGGACAGGGAGAAGGAUGAAAAGUUAGAUGCAACAGUUCUAUCUGCCCAGGCUUUGGCCUGCUGCUUGAAGAGAUUCAAUGGUUUUGUCAAGGAAAGGAAUCAGGUUGUUGCUGAUAACUUGCAGAUUGCAUCAAUGCUUGCACUUUUUGUAUCUGAUCAUUUUGGAGGCAGCGACAGAAGUUCUAUUGUUGAUAGGACACGAAAGGCUGUGUCUGGUUCAAACUAUAGGAAGCCAUUUAUUUGCACGUGUUCAACAGGAAAUGAUGACAGUAUUAAUGCAUCCACAAAGCAUAUUUUGGGCACUUCAGAAGAUAUUAUUUUCUCUGAUCUCUGUGAGAAAUCUUUACAUGCUGUUAAAGCAAGAAGGAAUUCUAUUGUAGUUCCUCUAGGGGAUUUGCAGUUUGGUGUGUGUAGGCACAGAGCCUUGCUAAUGAAGUAUCUAUGUGACCGAAUGGAGCCAUCAAUACCCUGUGAACUUGUCAGGGGUUAUCUGGACUUUGUGCCGCAUGCCUGGAAUAUCAUUCUCACAAAGAGGGGUGAUACAUGGGUUCGCAUGUUGGUGGAUGCAUGUCAUCCUCAUGAUAUAAGGGAAGAGACUGAUCCGGAGUAUUUUUGCAGGUCAGUGUAGAAUGAUAGUUCAUCAGUGUUGGUACAUAGAAACGUGAGAAAAAUUGAAGUACUCUUCGUACACAAUCACUUAAGAUUAUUUGAUUGGUCAUCAUAUUUUUUUGCUUCUCCAUUUUAUUUGUCCAAGUUUAAGAUCGUUUAUCUUGUGGAUUUCCUUGUUGCGCUAGGUACAUUCCACUCAGUCGGACCAAAGUUUCUCGUUCAACUGAGAGCAUGCCUGGUCCUGGUUGUUCUAUAACUUCUUUCUCCACGUGUGAUGAAUUAGAAAAAACUGUUUCUAGUACCAUUAUUGAAUGCAAGCUUGGAUCAGUUGAAGCUGCAGCAAAGGUGCGUUCUUUAGAGAUACGUGGGACUUCAGUGGAUGAGAUUAGGAAUUUCGAGUACAACUGCAUUGGGGAAGUAAGAAUCUUAGGUGCUUUGCAACAUCCCUGCAUAGUUGAAUUGUAUGGACAUCAGAUAUCUUCAAAGUGGGUUCAUUCAGAAGAUGGAAAACCGCAGCGCCAGAUAUUACGGUCUAUGAUUCUUAUGGAGCGUGUUAAGGGGGGAUCUUUAAAGAGUUACAUAGAGAAGAUGUCAAAAACUGGCGAGAAGCAUGUACCAGUGGAUUUAGCUUUGUGUAUUGCUCGAGAUGUUGCAUGUGCAUUGGCAGAGCUGCACUCGAAACACAUAAUUCAUCGCGAUGUGAAAAGUGAAAAUAUUUUGAUUGAUUUAGACAGUAAGAGAGCUGAUGCAAUGCCUGUUGUGAAACUCUGUGAUUUUGACAGAGCUGUACCUCUUAGGUCAUUCUUGCAUACAUGUUGUAUUGCUCAUAGAGGAAUACCACCACCUGAUGUUUGUGUUGGAACACCUCGCUGGAUGGCUCCAGAGGUUCUGCAGGCAAUGCAUAAACGUAACCUAUAUGGUUUGGUAUGAUGUUUCUUCUGUCUUAGAUAUUCCUUAAAUUGGUUGCUCACAUUUCCAUUUCCAUCUGUGAAAUAACUGUAAGGUUCUAUAAGAGCAAGUAUAAGAGUGAAGUCAUUAACGGUAUCAUAUAGAUUUCUGUAUUUUUUUUUUCAAAAUAUUAAACCAUAACUCUUUUUCUUUUAUAACCUUGAUUUGAGAAGGGAAUGUUGGGAGAACAAUCCUAGAUUGUCAUCAACGUAGUGAAAGAUUAUGUAGUACUUUGGACAAAGGUGAAUUAUUGUUUAUUGUAGAAUGUUAUAAUUUUUUUUGUUACUUGAAAGUGACAGACUAUUUGGUAUAGGAUACCCUUAUGAUUUCUUGAAUUUUAAGUAUUGUAUACAACCUUCAGGAUGAUUGUGUUGGCUGAUGACCAUAUAUUUUAUUUAUUUUUUAAAAGUUUGUCUACCAUAGCAGAAAAGGUUAUUUCAAUGGCACAUAUGCAGCAUAUGUUCAUAUUGUAAUGUAAUUUUUAUAUUUUGAGUUGAUGUAGCUUCAUUAAUGAAUUAAGUGAUUCUGUUGUCUGGUUGUAGGGAGUGGAUAUUUGGUCAUAUGGGUGCCUGCUUUUGGAAUUAUUGACUUUGCAAGUUCCAUACUCUGGCUUAUCUGAAUUCCACAUCAAUGACCUUCUUCAGAUGGGCAAACGACCACCAUUAACUGAUGAACUGGAAAGAUUAGUAUCAAUGAAUGAGCCUGCAGCUACCCAGUCUGGCUCAGAUGUGGCAGGGCCUGAGGCUGAAUUGGAAAAUCUAAAAUUCCUUGUUGAUUUGUUCAUUCGAUGCACAGAAGGAAAUCCAGCUAACCGUCCCACAGCAGCUGAAAUCUAUGAAUUGUUGCUUGUGCAUACAAAUACUUUCACUAGUUCAAGGAAUUAGGUGCAUGUGUAGAUUAACCUUUAGGAAAUAGUUCAUUCCUAGUCCCAAAUUUUUGUAGCCCUAGAAUGUUGUAUGACAAUAUGUAACAUGUAUAUCUUUCAGGAUCGAGUGUUUGGGCUUCCACUGAAGUUGUUAUAGCAGGACUAGUUACAGGUUUAGGAUUAGCAUCAUCUUUAAGCCUUCUUCAGUAUGAGUAAUGUCCAGGAUUCAGAUUCAAAUUUGGCGCUUCCUGCCUUUCUAAUCUAAUUGGGAUUUGUAAAUUUUGUAGGUAGUUAUGUUUGCUUAGGUGUUGACGUCCUUAUUCUUUUGUAAGUUGACAUGUUUAAAUUAUUAAAGCUCCUUCAUUUUGAUUUAUUUGAAA